UUUUUUUUUUUUGAAAUUGAAGAGGAAAAGGCAUGUGGAGAGAGGGGAAAAGGAAGAUUUCACUCACUGCAAAUUUCUUGGACUGCUCUGAGCUCACCUGGAAAACAAAGAGACUGAAUUCUUCCUCUCGUGUAGAUGGAUGCGAGCAUGGUACGACUGCAGGGGCCUCAGAAGUGGAGAUGUAGGACACAGUACAAGGGAUUACAUACAAGGGAUGAGAAGAAAAGGGGCAGAGGAUUACAACAUUGACCAAGUGUCUGCUGCAGCAGGUCUGAAAGAGAAUAUGAUCUGAAUGGCAGUUGAGCAACAAAGCAACUUGCAGGAGUGGCGUUAAAUGGUAACAAUUUAUUUCUUCAAGAUUACUCAGAGGUAUCACUAUUAUCCCUCAUAUUGGCACAGAAAAAUCAGAGCUAAAGAUUUGCUUCAAGCAGAACUGAAGGAAGUGCUUUAGGUGCUGCAGCAUACACUCACUUGGACAACAGAACAGCUUUUUGGAAAAGAAGUUAAAUCAACUUCAAGGGAGUCCUGCCACAAUGAAAAAAAAGAAAAAAAAAAAGAAAAAAAAAAAGAAAACCUUUAGAUCAAUACAGUACUUUUUCCUGUGCUUAGAUGACUACUUUUGCAUGGUGAUCUGCUUCAGAACUCUUUAAGUAAGCUUAACAGCAACAAAAUUAGAGUAUGACUGUGAUUUUAGAUUUACAUUCUUACAAAUAUUUCCUCAAUGAAAACUUUUCAUCCACCAGAGUAAUGAGAUGGCUACUAGAAAGGCUUUUUCAUUAUAUGCACACUACCUAUUUAAAGUGUAUUCAGUAGCACCAGUACCGAAUUUCCUUAGGGCUGACUUUGAUGGGCCCUUUGAACUGGGAGAAGUUUUGCUUAAACAUAAGGGAAGAGACUGAAAAUUAAG
ensembl:lncRNA